rnacentral:lncRNA from 1 species
GACUUGGAUGUUAUUGUGUGUGAGUCCAGCACAUUACACAAAGUGGUCACUGAUUUAAAGCUUAGAGAAAUGAGACACAAGACAAAGAGUUAAACGUCCUGUGACACAAAUUUCCUGAAAAGCUUUGCUACGUGAUGCUCUUUCAGUGGCCCUGCGUACGGAGAUCAAUGAGUGAAAACGAGCCCUUAGACUGAAAGUGAACCUCACAAUGGAACAGAACCACCCGCCACCAGACAAGGUUCUACACGUGGUUAAGGGACCAACUGCAGUCACAGGGAUGACAUACCAGUGCAAGGAGUAACAUUUCAAAGGAAGAGAAAGCUCAGGCCACAUGCAGUCACCAUGCAUCACCAGCCUCAGAAGAAGGGUGGACUGGCUUAUGCAAAUUAUCAAAUUUGCUUCUGUUUCCCAGCAUUGUUUUCCUUACCUGCGACUGUUUGCCUUUCAUUAUAGAACUAAUACCACAUGUUCUCACUUACAGGUGGGAGCUAAAUGAUGAGAAUUCAUGGACAUAUACAAGGGAACAACAGCCCCUGGGGCCUUCUUGAGGGUGGAGGGUGGGAGGAGGGAAAGGAGCAGGAAAAAAUAACUCUUAGGGCCUAUGCUUAGUACCAGGGUGCCGAAAUAAUCUGUAUAGCAAACCCGCAUGACAUGAGUUAUAUAUAAGAAAACUGCACGUGUACCCCUGAAUCUAAAAUAAAAGUUAAAAAAAUG